UCCUAGCCCUGAUGGGAACGGCAUCCUUUUUUUGGUAGGGAAAAGCCCGGCAAAAAAAGAUACAGUGAACAGCAGGAUCAAGC
rnacentral:sRNA from 1 species